CCUACGGGAGGCAGCAGUGAGGAAUCUUGGUCAAUGGGCGAGAGCCUGAACCAGCAAAGUAGCGUGAAGGAUGAAUGCCCUACGGGCUGUAAACUUCUUUUAUAAAGGAAUAAAGUGAGGCACGUGUGCCUUUUUGUAUGUACUUUAUGAAUAAGGAUCGGCUAACUCCGUGCCAGCAGCCGCGGUAAUACGGAGGAUCCGAGCGUUAUCCGGAUUUAUUGGGUUUAAAGGGAGCGUAGAUGGGUUGUUAAGUCAGUUGUGAAAGUUUGCGGCUCAACCGUAAAAUUGCAAUUGAUACUGGCAGUCUUGAGUACAGUAGAGGUAGGUGGAAUUCGUGGUGUAGCGGUGAAAUGCUUAGAUAUCACGAAGAACACCGAUUGCGAAGGCAGCUUACUAAACUGCCACUGACAUUGAUGCUCGAAAGUGUGGGUAGCAAACAGGAUUAGAUACCCGGGUAGUC
rnacentral:rRNA from 1 species